UACGUAGGGUGCAAGCGUUAAUCGGAAUUACUGGGCGUAAAGCGUGCGCAGGCGGCUAUGCAAGACAGGUGUGAAAUCCCCGGGCUUAACCUGGGAACUGCAUUUGUGACUGCAUAGCUAGAGUACGGUAGAGGGGGAUGGAAUUCCGCGUGUAGCAGUGAAAUGCGUAGAUAUGCGGAGGAACACCGAUGGCGAAGGCAAUCCCCUGGACCUGUACUGACGCUCAUGCACGAAAGCGUGGGGAGCAAACAGG
rnacentral:rRNA from 1 species